AACUCGGUGGUGUAGCGGUAGCACGCGUCCCUGGUAUGGAUGAAACAAAGGUUCGACUCCCGCCUGAUGUCG